GACGAACGCUGGCGGCGUGCCUAAUACAUGCAAGUCGAACGGAAAGGUCCGGCGUUUGUGGGGCGCUCGAGUGGCGAACGGGUGAGUAACACGCGAGUAACACGCCCCUGACUUUGUGAUAACUUCAGGGAACUGGGGCGAAUAUCGGAUAUGAGCUCUUGCUCCACGGUGGGGGUUGGUAAGAUUCGGCGGUUGGGGAUGGACUCGCAGCUUAUCAGCUUGAUGGUCUGGUAGUGGCUUACCAAGGCUUUGACGGAUAGCCGGCCUGAGAGGGUGAACGGGCACAAUGGGACUGAGGGAGGGACCAGAAUCGAACGUGACGCAGCGGUGGGGAAUAUUGCGGAGUGGGGGGAAGCCAGAGGUGACGAUGCCGGGUGCGGGAUAAUGUGCUACGGGUUGUAAACCAAUUUCGCAGGUGCUGAGCAGUGCGUGACGGUAAUUGGUAAGAAAGCCCCGGCUAACUACGUG
rnacentral:rRNA from 1 species